rnacentral:rRNA from 1 species
GCAUGGAUUAGGCAUGCAAGUCGAACGAUGAAACAGAAGCUUGCUUCUGUGAAUUAGUGGCGAAAGGGUGAGUAACGCGUGAGCAACUUGCCCCCAAGUUGGGAACAACCUUCCGAAAGGAAGGCUAAUACCGAAUGUGGAUUUUAUCUCGCAUGAGAUUUUAUCUAAAGAUUUAUUGCUUGGGGAUGGGCUCGCGUACCAUUAGCUAGUUGGUAAGGUAACGGCUUACCAAGGCUACGAUGGUUAGGUGGUCUGAGAGGACGAUC